rnacentral:rRNA from 1 species
GCGGGCUGGAUCUCUCGGGGUUACAGCCUUGCUGAAUUAUUCACCCUUGUCUUUUGCGUACUUCUUGUUUCCUUGGUGGGUUCGCCCACCACUAGGACAAACAUAAACCUUUUGUAAUUGCAAUCAGCGUCAGUAACAAAUUAAUAAUUACAACUUUCAACAACGGAUCUCUUGGUUCUGGCAUCGAUGAAGAACGCAGCGAAAUGCGAUAAGUAGUGUGAAUUGCAGAAUUCAGUGAAUCAUCGAAUCUUUGAACGCACAUUGCGCCCUUUGGUAUUCCAAAGGGCAUGCCUGUUCGAGCGUCAUUUGUACCCUCAAGCUUUGCUUGGUGUUGGGCGUCUUGUCUCUAGCUUUGCUGGAGACUCGCCUUAAAGUAAUUGGCAGCCGGCCUACUGGUUUCGGAGCGCAGCACAAGUCGCACUCUCUAUCAGCAAAGGUCUAGCAUCCAUUAAGCCUUUUUUCAACUUUUGACCUCGGAUCACGUAGGGAUACCCGCUGAACUUAAGCAUAUCAUAAACCCGGAAGGAGAAAUCGUAACACAAAUGGGAAAGGCGGGCGGGAAUCUCUGGGGUUACAGCCUUGCUGAAUUAUUCACCCUUGUCUUUUGCGUACUUCUCGUUUCCGUGGUGGGUUCGCCACCACUAGGACAAACAUAAACCUUUUGUAAUUGCAAUCAGCGUCAGUAACAAAUUAAUAAUUACACUUUCACAACG